CGCCGUGAGCGGAAUUUGUGGACUAACUUUGUGGACUCUAAAUGUCCGCCGGUUGUUGAAGGAGGCGAGUGUUCAACUGGAGUUUGACCGACCAGUUUCGACAUGAAGGAGCGCCGCUGGACGCACGUCGCCCGAAGGAGCUCUGCUCGCGGUGGAACAAACAUUUGCCUUUAGCCAACUCCAGGCUCAAACAAACGGAGCCAAACAAGACAGCAGCCUCAUGUUCCUGCUUUUUGGCCAACGGGAAGAGGCCGGGAGUGGAAAGGAAGGAGAAUGCCGUGUGAGACAUGUGGCCAAUGGGAGGCUUAUACCCACAGCCUACAUCCGGCAAGUC